AAAAAAACAUGAAGCACUUGUCUAUUCUCCUCGUUUCAUUGGCCAACUUCCACUCGUUAAAACGCGCAUCAGCUGCCUUGAAUGUUAAAAAUGAACUUGGAUGAUUGGAAGCCAAAGGAGACAUUUCUAUGACUACAAUGAUCUUCUGUUAUGUAUGGAUAUAAAUGGCAAAGUACAUUAUAAUGGGUGCAUGCGUUGUCAGAGUUAGCAGCUACCACCAUUAAUGGUUGGUUGUUAGCAGCAUUAAUGUUAGUUGGUCGUUGCCUGCUGGAAAGUCAUAAAUGGAGGUGAGCUGAGUUUUUGGCCAUCCUGAGCCUAUAAAUAGAGAGCCCAGGAAAACAAGCAGCACCAGAAGAAGCAGGGUAGAAGGAGAGCCGCCCUCGUGGGCCGCAGCAGCACUGCACUGAGGAGAGAUGGGAUUUAGUAGAGAUGAGUUGUCCCACCUCCUCCAUCUCUAUUGAUGCAAAAUGUUGUUUUCUCCUCAUGGUUGCUACGUGUACAUAGGCAAGUUGUUGUCGAGCCAUAUUAAAUUGUUGUGAUCCACCUCCAAUGGGCAAAGAGAUCGCACCACAGAUCCCAACAUCAGCCGGUCCAGUUUGGUUGGUGAAUAAGACAGAUUAUUUGGUUGCUUCUGGGGCUUCAAGGAAUAAAUUAAAGUUCCUUUUGGGGAGUUUAAAGAUUGAUGGGACAUUGAAGAAGUUGGAUUUGGCAAGGAAAUUGGUUUAUGGUAAGGUCUCCAGAUCAGUUUCUGGGCUGGAAAGUUUGAAUUUGAGUUACAAUCAUCUUCGAGGACAGCUUCCAUCAACAAAAUUCUCCGUUAGUGCGUUUGAGGGUAAUGACUAGCACUCAAGAUGCCCUAAAUUUGUUAUACUUUGUUUUUUUUAAUGGGGGUAAAUUAGACUAGGAAUGUUCGGCUGAUAAAAGAAUAUUAUGCAUUAUACAAUAACACUGAAAGAACCAUUUUUACUGUACAUUAUUGUGCUCCCUCUCUAAAUGAACUCUGAAUAGUGUUUUUUAUUUUU